GGGCGUAUAGCUCAGUUUGGUUAGAGCGCGUCCCUGAUAAGGACGAGGUCGGUAGUUCGACUCUACCUACGCCCACCA
rnacentral:tRNA from 1 species